UUUAGCGCGAAAACAUUACGACUGCGUAGAACGUCUAGAGUCUUGCAUCUGUUCGUCUGUUACCUGAUGGCCUUAACCGAAAUGAAUGGUAUUAACCAUGGGUCCAUAUACUUGUAAAGAGUGUUCAGCAUUACAAAUUAUGGAACAGAGCCACACCACAGUGAUUUCAAAUUCUUUGACUAAUGGCAUAUCAAUACGUAAAAGCCAUUUUAAUGGUAUUAUUCCACCUAUGCCAUGGUUUGGUAUGGAUAUCGGAGGGACACUCUCAAAACUCGUAUUUUUCGAACCAAAAGAUGCGAUUUCAGAAAAAACUGAAGAUGAAACUCAACUCAUGUCCAAUGUUACUAAAUAUUUGACGAAAAAUUCUGCCUAUGGAAAAUCAGGACACAGAGAUGCACAUCAACAGAUGGACAAUGUGAAAAUUUGUAAUAGGAUAGGUACUUUGCACUUUAUCAGAUUUCCAACUAGUGAAAUGAACAAUUUUUUGGAACUAGCCAAAAGAAAAGGUAUGGCAGCAAGUGUAUCUACAGUUUGUGCUACUGGUGGUGGAGCUUUCAAAUUUGAAGAAAAUUUCAAAAAUGAAUUAAAUUUGAAGUUAUGCAAAUGUGAUGAAUUAGAUAGUUUGAUUCGCGGCUUAUUAUUUACAGUAGCUUCCAAUAAUAAUGAAUGUUACUUUUGGUCUCAAUGUACUGAAGAUGAACAGUGUUCAACUCAAGAGUAUACAUUCCAGUAUAAUAAAUAUCCAUUUAUCGUAGUAAAUAUAGGAUCUGGCGUAAGUGUUUUGGCAGUUUAUGGUCCAAAUAAUUAUAAAAGAAUUUCUGGAACCAGUAUAGGAGGUGGUACAUUUUUGGGAUUAUGUAGUUUGUUAACUGGAUGCAAUACAUUUGAGGAGGCUAUUGAAUUGGCUGCUAAUGGUGAUAAUACAAAAGUUGAUAAAUUGGUGCGUGACAUAUAUGGUGGUAGUUAUAGUCGAUUUGGUCUGCCUGGAGAAUUAGUAGCUAGCAGUUUUGGUCAUAUGAAUUCUAAAGAGAAACGGGCACAGGUUUCCAGAGAAGAUUUGGCUCGAGCAACUUUAGUUACCAUUACAAACAACAUUGCAUCAAUUGCAAGGAUGUGUGCAUUAAAUGAAAGAAUUGACAGAGUAUGCUUUGUUGGUAACUUUUUGCGAGUGAACCCAAUAUCAAUGAAGUUAUUAUCACAUGCAAUGGAUUAUUGGUCGAAUGGUUCACAAAAAGCUAUAUUUUUAAAUCACGAAGGUUACUUUGGUGCCAUUGGAUGUUUGUUAUCAUUUGAUGAGCGGUAUAAAGACUAAAAAGUAAUUUGUUGAAUGAUUUAACCAUUCAACACAUUCCACAUUGCCAAUCCAUUUUGAUUUCAGCUGGUUGUGGACAGCAUUGCAGUCAACAAAUCUCAUUGAUAAUUAAUUUUGGUGAUGUGUUUAUUUUUAAUUUACGAGAAAAAAUAUUAGUCUAUUGGUAUAAUUAGUUACCUGUGCUACAUAUUUAAUUGUU
rnacentral:misc_RNA from 1 species